CAAUCAUCAACCACAUUACAUCAACACCUUGAGGCCAGAUCCACAUCUUAUCAUCCCCCGAAACCAGGUAGAAAUGACAAAGCUGUCCACAGACACUGUCCUCAGCCAAUCACUUGCUGUGGUGUUGUCAUGUGACCCACCUACUGCUGAAGAGGAACUGCA